rnacentral:rRNA from 1 species
GAAUCUUGGACAACGGGCGAAAGCCUGAUCCAGCAAUGCCGCGUGAGUGAUGAAGGCCUUAGGGUUGUAAAGCUCUUUUACCCGGGAUGAUAAUGACAGUACCGGGAGAAUAAGCCCCGGCUAACUCCGUGCCAGCAGCCGCGGUAAUACGGGGGGGGCAAGCGUUGUUCGGAAUUACUGGGCGUAAAGGGCUCGUAGGUGGCCAACUAAGUCAGACGUGAAAUCCCUCGGCUUAACCGGGGAACUGCGUCUGAUACUGGAUGGCUUGAGUUUGGGAGAGGGAUGCGGAAUUCCAGGUGUAGCGGUGAAAUGCGUAGAUAUCUGGAGGAACACCGGUGGCGAAGGCGGCAUCCUGGACCAACACUGACGCUGAGGAGCGAAAGCCAGGGGAGCAAACGGG